rnacentral:misc_RNA from 1 species
GCCUUGACAAGACAUCCAAUUCCCUACAUAAGAAUAAUAACCAGUAUGAAAUAUGGUCAAGUUGGGCUAAAUUAUAUUUUACAUUACAAAAAAUUAUUUUUUUUUAAAAAAAAGAAGCCAUAAUCAAGGUAAAAAAAAAAGCUCAAUGGAAUGCACUAGCCAUACAAUUCAAGAAAACAGCAGGGAAUAUUACAGGAGAAAGAACCCACAUUUUUCAGCAAAAUAUAAUUAAGCUCCCAGUUUUUUCAAAUUGAAUUACAUUGGUCCUUAAUUCUUUUAAGUUCCUUAUCCCUUAGUCCUUUCGACCUUUUGUUAUUGUAUUUACAAUUUAAUCCUUCACUUUUUAAAUAAAAAAAAAUUUUAGCCCCUACAAAUUUGGACUAAAGUGUAUAAUAUAUGUAACCUUGGGGAAAUAGUUGUUUCAAACUAGACAAAAAUAAGAAACUUUAAAAGUCAAAGAAUAUAAACUCAAUUUGAAAAAAAGCAAGUACCUAUGUGCCUUUUGUAAUUUUCAAAAACAAUACAUUUGACACAAGGUGACGUGAUAAAUGUGAAUCAUUUUGACAAAACCAAUUAGAUUUAAAAUUCCUCUAAGGCAAGUUGGAGCCUGCUUGCAGAUUUUAGCUAAUGGCACAGUAAAAUCAUUAUUGCUAAAUAAUUUAUUUCAUAGAUAACAAAUAUGAGCAUCAUAGCAAACAUGACCCGUAAUGCCUUUCAAAACAGAUAAAUAGGGAGAAAAAGAGAUAAAAAUAGACUGGGUUGAGAAAAGAA